UAACAAGGAUUCCCCUAGUAACUGCGAGUGAAGCGGGAAAAGCUCAAAUUUAAAAUCUGGCGGUCUUUGGCCGUCCGAGUUGUAGUCUGGAGAAGCGUCUUCCGCGUUGGACCGUGUACAAGUCUCUUGGAACAGAGCGUCAUAGAGGGUGAGAAUCCCGUCUUUGACACGGACUACCAAUGCUUUGUGAUGCGCUCUCAAAGAGUCGCGUUGUUUGGGAAUGCAGCGCAAAAUGGGAGGUGAAUUCCUUCUAAAGCUAAAUAUUGGCGAGAGACCGAUAGCGAACAAGUACCGUGAGGGAAAGAUGAAAAGCACUUUGGAAAGAGAGUUAAACAGUACGUGAAAUUGCUAAAAGGGAAACGCUUGAAGUCAGUCGCGUCGUCCGGAACUCAGCUUUGCUUCGGCUUAGUGCACUUUCCGGUUGACGGGCCAGCAUCGAUUUUGACCGCUGGAAAAGGGCUGGAGGAAUGUGGCACCUUCGGGUGUGUUAUAGCCUUCAGUCGCAUACAGCGGUUGGGAUCGAGGAACGCAGCGCGCCUUAUGGCUGGGGUUCGCCCACAUUCGCGCUUAGGAUGCUGGCAUAAUGGCUUUAAACGAC
rnacentral:rRNA from 1 species